rnacentral:ncRNA from 1 species
UGGGGAAAUGCAGACUCCCCAUUAGGCGGCCACACCGUCCAAGCUCUGC